rnacentral:rRNA from 1 species
UACAGAGGGUGCGAGCGUUAUUCGGAAUUAUUGGGCGUAAAGGGCGCGUAGGCGGCUGAACAAGUCAAAGGUGAAAUCCCUCGGCUCAACUGAGGAACUGCCUUUGAAACUGUUCGGCUUGAGGCCGGGAGGGGGUAGCGGAAUUCCCAGUGUAGCGGUGAAAUGCGUAGAUAUUGGGAGGAACACCAGUGGCGAAGGCGGCUACCUGGACCGGUUCUGACGCUGAGGCGCGAAAGCGUGGGUAGCAAACAGG